rnacentral:rRNA from 1 species
UGGGGAAUAUUGCACAAUGGGCGCAAGCCUGAUGCAGCCAUGCCGCGUGUGUGAAGAAGGCCUUCGGGUUGUAAAGCACUUUCAGCGAGGAGGAAGGUGGUGAAACUUAAUACGUUCAUCAAUUGACGUUACUCGCAGAAGAAGCACCGGCUAACUCCGUGCCAGCAGCCGCGGUAAUACGGAGGGUGCAAGCGUUAAUCGGAAUUACUGGGCGUAAAGCGCACGCAAGGCGGUUUGUUAAGUCAGAUGUGAAAUCCCCGGGCUCAACCUGGGAACUGCAUUUGAAACUGGCAAGCUAGAGUCUCGUAGAGGGGGGUAGAAUUCCAGGUGUAGCGGUGAAAUGCGUAGAGAUCUGGAGGAAUACCGGUGGCGAAGGCGGCCCCCUGGACGAAGACUGACGCU